rnacentral:rRNA from 1 species
CCCUUAGAUGUUCUGGGCCGCACGCGCGCUACACUGAUGCAUUCAACGAGCCUAUCCUUGACCGACAGGUCCGGGUAAUCUUUGAAUCUGCAUCGUGACGGGGAUAGAUUAUUGCAAUUAUUAAUCUUCAACGAGGAAUGCCUAGUAGGCGCAAGUCAUCAGCUUGCGUCGAUUACAUCCCUGCCCUUUGUACACACCGCCCGUCGCUCCUACCGAUUGGGUGUGCUGGUGAAAUGUUCGGAUCGGCCGUUUGUCGCGGUUUCCGCGUCAUGUGGCUGAGAAGUUCAUUAAACCCUCCCACCGAGAGGAAGGAGAAGUCGUAACA